AGAGUUUGAUCCUGGCUCAGAGUGAACGUUGGCGGCGUGGAUUAGGCAUGCAAGUCGAGCGAUCGUAGCAAUACGGGAGCGGCAAACGGGGUAGGAAUACAUCGGAACGUACCUUUUGGUUGAGAAUAGCGUUGGGAAACUGACGGUAAUACUCAAUAAAGUCGAGAGACCAAAGGUUUACUGCCGGAAGAGCGGCCGAUGCGAUAUUAGGUAGUUGGUGGGGUAAUGGCCUACCAAGCCUGAGAUGUCUAGGGGGUGUGAGAGCAUGGCCCCACCACUGGGACUGAGAUACUGCCCAGACACCUACGGGUGGCUGCAGUCGAGGAUCUUCGUCAAUGGCGAAAGCCUGAACGAGCGACGCCGCGUGCGGGAUGAAGGCCCUUGGGUUGUAAACCGCUGUCAGGGGAGAUGAAACCGUAAGGUUGACAGAGCCCCAGAGGAAGCACGGGCUAAGUUCGUG
rnacentral:rRNA from 1 species